rnacentral:rRNA from 1 species
AUGACUCUUGGUACGCUGGUUAUCAUGGGCAUGGCUACCUUGCUGGUGUAUUGUCUCAGAAAAAGCAAAAGAGUGGUAUUGUCCCAGCGGCAACCAGCACGACGAGAUCUGCUGCCACCGGGGCCUGCUACACUGCCCAUCAUUGGGAACAUGCACCAGAUGGUUUGGAACAAACCGGCAGUGUUCCGGUGGAUCCAUCGCCUUCUCAAGGAGAUGAACACAGACAUCUUGUGCCUCCAUCUCGGAGCUACUCAUGUCAUUGUUGUGACAUGCCCGGAGAUAGCCUGUGAGGUACUACGGAAGAAGGAUGAAGUUUUCGCCUCCCGUCCCACCACCUUCGCCUCGGGUACAUUCAGCUUCGGGUACAGGGGCUCCGUCUUGUCACCGCAAGGAGAGCAGUGGAAGAAGAUGAAGCGCGUCCUCACCUUGGAGAUCCUCACCUCGUCCAUGGAGCAGAAGCUCCACCACCUAUGGAAGGAGGAGUAUGACCACCUUGUAAGAUACUUUAGCUACCUACAAUCUUCGUCGACUAAUGGACCUGGAUAUGAGGAGGAGGCACAUGUUGCCGCUCUUUUCACGGCCCUCAACCAUGUGUACAGCUUCUGUGUGUCUGACUACAUCCCAGCCCUGGUAGGCCUCGACUUGGAUGGCCAUGAGGAGGUUUCCAUGGAUGUCAUGAGAACAAUUAACCAGUUGCAUGACCCUAUCAUACGGGAACGGAUCCAUGAAAGGUCAUCCACUCUUGAGAAAGGUGGUGAAGAUAAAGGGGCGAGAGACUUUCUGGAUGUCCUAGUUCAUCGUAAAGAUGCAGAGGGACAACCGUUGCUAUCCCUACAAGAAAUAAGAGCCCAAACAGCGGAAAUGGUGCUUGCAGCAGUCGACAACCCAUCAACGGUUGAGUGGGCGCUCGCCGAGAUGAUGAACAGGCCGGAGAUCAUGCAAAAAGUGACAGAUGAACUCGACGCUAUUGUUGGUAAAGAUAGACUAGUCCAGGAGGAGUCUGACAUUCCUCGGCUAAAUUAUCUCAAAUCGUGUAUCCGGGAGGCCUUCCGCAUACACCCAUACCAUGCUCUUAAUUUACCCCAUGUUGCAACGGUGGACACCACUAUCGCCGGCUACACCAUCCCAAAGGAUAGCCACAUCCUUUUAAGCCGGCUUGGACUUGGCCGAAACCCCAAGAUCUGGAGCGAACCACUUGAGUUUCGUCCUGAGAGGCAUUUGAAUACCGUGAAUGUUCUUCUCACUAAGCCAGGCCUACGUUUCAUUUCUUUUAGCAGUGGGAGAAGGGGUUGUCCUGGGAUUUCACUUGGUACCUCGAUCACAAUGAUAUUAUUUGCAAGGAUGCUGCAGGCCUUCACUUGGACAAAACCUGUAGGCGUUAAAAAUAUCAGUCUGCAGGAAGGCAAUGCAAGCAUUGCCCUACUUGAACCCCUUGUUUUGCAAGCUCAACCACGGUUGGCCGCUUAUCUAUAUAUAUGA